rnacentral:rRNA from 1 species
CCUACGGGAGGCAGCAGUGAGGAAUAUUGGUCAAUGGCCGGAAGGCUGAACCAGCCAAGCCGCGUGAAGGACGAAGGUGCCAAGCAUUGUAAACUUCUUUUGUCAAGGGACAAAAUCAGGCUCGAGAGCCUGACCGAGGGUACGUGAAGAAAAAGCAUCGGCUAACACCGUACCAGAAGCCGCGGUAAUACGUAGGAUUCGAGCGAUGUCCGGAUUUAUUGGUUUUAAAGGGUGCGUAGGCGGACUGUUAAGUCAUCGGUAAAACCCCGGGUCUAAACCCUGGCGAGCCUGUGAGACUGGCUGUCUUGAGAUGUGGAGAGGUAUGCGGAAUGCGGAGUGUAGCGGUGAAAUGCUUAGAUAUUGCGCAGAACGCCGAGUGCGAAGGCAGCAUACCGG